UACGUAGGGUCCGAGCGUUGUCCGGAAUUAUUGGGCGUAAAGGGCUCGUAGGCGGUUCGUCACGUCGGGAGUGAAAACUCGGGGCUUAACCCCGAGCCUGCUUCCGAUACGGGCAGACUAGAGGUAGGCAGGGGAGAGCGGAACUCCUGGUGUAGCGGUGGAAUGCGCAGAUAUCAGGAAGAACACCGGUGGCGAAGGCGGCUCUCUGGGCCUUACCUGACGCUGAGGAGCGAAAGCCAGGGGAGCAAACGGG
rnacentral:rRNA from 1 species